GUAGGUGGCAAGCGUUAUCCGGAAUUAUUGGGCGUAAAGCGCGCGUAGGCGGUUUUUUAAGUCUGAUGUGAAAGCCCACGGGCUCAACCUUGGAGGGUCAUAGGAAACUGGAAAACUUGAGUGCGGAAGAGGAAAGUGGAAUUCCAUGUGUAGCGGUGAAAUGCGCAGAGAUAUGGAGGAACACCAGUGGCGAAGGCGACUUUCUGGUCUGUAACUGACGCUGAUGUGCGAAAGCGUGGGGAUCAAACAGGAUUAGAUACCCUGGUAGUCCACGCCGUAAACGAUGAGUGCUAAGUGUUAGGGGGUUUCCGCCCCUUAGUGCUGCAGCUAACGCAUUAAGCACUCCGCCUGGGGAGUACGACCGCAAGGUUG
rnacentral:rRNA from 1 species